UGCACAGUGGAGAAAAAAGGUGUGGUUCCAGCUCCUACAGUAGUAAAGGGGACCGACCCUGCGACAACAGAGCUGAAGGGAAGACACAGCGAGCACUGAGAGAAUUUAAAGCCCUUUUUUUUUUUUAUAAGUUUGAAUCUUUUACAUUCUAAAACAGGAGGACCUUAAAUCAAGAGCAGUCAACUUCCUACAGGUCUAGCAGGGUUUCUCCUGGACAGUGAAACAAGUUUCCUCAUGUUUUCUAAUCAGGCAAACCAACAUGUCUAUGACAACUCAGGGUUUCAGAAUGACAUGGGAAGACCCCUUCAGACCCUCAGCCACGCCGCUGCUCCUGAAUACAUCAACACCCAGCAGACUUCAUCAUUUCCCCCUCCGCAAAACAAAAAAGGUACAGAA